UUCCUACGGGAGGCAGCAGUAGGGAAUCUUCCACAAUGGGGGAAACCCUGAUGCAGCGACGCCGCGUGAGUGAAGAAGUAUUUCGGUACGUAAAGCUCUAUCAGCAGGGAAGAAAAUGACGGUACCUGACUAAGAAGCCCCGGCUAACUACGUGCCAGCAGCCGCGGUAAUACGUAGGGGGCAAGCGUUAUCCGGAUUUAUUGGGUUUAAAGGGUGCGCAGGCGGUCUGUUAAGUCAGCGGUCAAAGCCCGGGGCUCAACCCCGGCCCGCCGUUGAAACUGGCAGUCUCGAGUUGGAGAGAAGUA
rnacentral:rRNA from 1 species